rnacentral:tRNA from 1 species
GAGGGUAUAUCUUAGUGGUAGAGCACAUGCUUAGCGUGCACGAGGUCCUGGGUUCAAUCCCCAGUACCGCCG